rnacentral:lncRNA from 1 species
UUGUAUAUUUAGGCAAGAUUAUUAUAAAAUUUAUAUGGAAAGGCAAAGGAACUAUAACAGUAUAAUAGUUAAAAUAAUUUGAAAAAGAACAGCAAAGUGAGAGAAAUCAGCCUGAUUUUAAGAUUUCUUAUACAGCUACUAUGAAGACUGUGUGGUACUGGCAGAGGGAUAGCGAAGGAAAUCAAAAGGACGGGAUAGAAAACCCAGAAAUAGCCCCACACAAGUAAAGUAAAUGGAUUUUUAACAAAAUCCGUUUUUUGUCAAAGCAGUUCAAUCGAGGAAGGAUGGCCUUUUCAACAAAUGGUGUUGGAACAACUGAACAUCUGUAGGCAAAGAAUGACCUGGACGGUGCACAUUUUCGCAGAUGUAUCUUCCUAUUGACAUCUGGCCCAAUCUAACAUUACCCUGAGCACCUACCGGCUGAUAGAGAGCACAAAGGUCCAGGAGCCAGACUGAUGUUCUUACUUUUGAUGACAGAGAGAAUCUAUAGCUACCCAUCAAGAAAUUUCUACCCUCUACUUGCCCUGCUCACAAGAUGCUCCUGCCUCGUUGCACAUAUUUCCCUACAUUCCUGGAAUUUUGUUACAAAAAAUAAAAUGUUGGGCAAGAAUCUUCUCAGUUGAACCAGCCACCUCACCCAGGCUGAAGAAAGCUGGUCCCUCUGCAUCAGGCCAAUUGGUGAACAAGCCAUUCUCCUGUCUAACCCCUUGGCAUAGAGCCUUCUGCACAGAAAUAAACCAACAGGAUGCACUGCAAAAAAAAAAAGAAGAAGAAGGAAAUUGCCUCAGAUGAAUCUCUUCCCUUUUGUAGCUCCUCGGUGAGCCAGAACAAAACACAAAUAAACUCGAUUAUCACCAGUUAACCCUGGGCAGAUUACGCAUUCUGCUUCCCUCAGGAACACCCACGCAACCCACAGAACCUGUCCUACGGACGCCUCCCCCCAUGGACAUAACUGGGAAGGGUUUAAAAAUGACUCCCAAGUUGAAGAGAUGAUACAGAAUCACAGAAAUCAGGAGCUGGAAGGUCAUCAUUUCCAUGAACUGAUGUUAGUGAUAAGAAACCUGGAGCCCAGGAAGGGGAACUGAUUUGCUCAAGUUCAGAGCUGAUUAGUGACAGAAUCAGAACCGGAGCCCAGACCCCUUUUCUACCUUCUCUUUUAGCUUUUUGUUAUAGAAAAUUUCAGACGUAUACAGAAGUAGACAGACUAGCAUAAUGAACUCAUACAUGCUCAUCACUCAGCUACAACAAUGAUGAGCGUUUUGCCGUUUUAUCUAUCCUUCUUCUGUUUGUACUGGAUUGUUUUAAAGCAAAUGCAAGGCACUAUGUCAUUUCUCUUGUAAUUGCUUCAGCUGCUUCUCUAGGUGAU